rnacentral:rRNA from 1 species
UCUUCCUUUUGCUAGGGUAUAGCCAGAAGAAAUUCUGAUUAAUCCCCCAUAAUAUAAAGUAUCUGCAUGGAACCUUUAUUAAAGCUUAGGUGGCAAGAGAUGAGCCUGCGUCUGAUUAGGUUAGUUGGUGAGGUAAUGGCUCUACCAAGACUAUGAUCAGUAGGGGACCUAAGAGGGAAACCCUCCACACUGGAACUGAGACAAGGACCAGACUUCUACGGAAGGCAGCAGUGAGGAAUAUUGGUCAAUGGAGGAAACUCUGAACCAGCUAUGCCGCGUGUAGGAUGACAGUCUUUUAGAUUGUAAACUACUUUUACAUAGAAAUAAAAGUUACUACGGGAUGGUAACCUGAAGGUACUAUGCGAAUAAGUGUCGGCUAAUUUCGUGCCAGCAGCCGCGGUAAAACGAAAGACACAAGCGUUAUCCGGAUUUAUUGGGUUUAAAGGGUGUGUAGGUUGUUUAUUAAGUCAGUAGUGAAAGCUUACAGCUUAACUGUAAAAUUGCUAUUGAUACUGAUAAUCUUGAGUCAGAUUGGAGCGUCUGGAAUGUAUGGUGUAGCGGUGAAAUGCAUAGAUAUCAUACAGAACACCAAUAGCGAAGGCAGGAUGCUAAAUCUUCACUGACGCUGAGGCACGAAAGCGUGGGUAGCAAACAGGAUUAGAUACCCUGGUAGUCCACGCCCUAAACUAUGAUCACUAGCUAUUGGAAAAAUUAUAUUCAGUGGCCAAGCUAAAGCGAUAAGUGAUCCACCUGGGAAGUACGAUCGCAAGAUUGAAACUCAAAGGAAUUGACGGGGUUUCGCACAAGCGGUGGAGCAUGUGGUUUAAUUCGAUGAUACGCGAGGAACCUUACCAAGGUUUAAAUGUAUUACGAAUAAGCUGGAAACAACUUAGUCUAUAAGACGUAAUACA